rnacentral:rRNA from 1 species
UACGUAGGGGGGCAAGCGUUGUCCGGAUUUAUUGGGCGUAAAGAGCGUGUAGGCGGCUUGGUAGGUCCGCUGUGAAAACUCGAGGCUCAACCUCGAGAUGUCGGCGGAAACCACUUGGCUAGAGUCCGGAAGAGGAGAGUGGAAUUCCUGGUGUAGCGGUGAAAUGCGCAGAUAUCAGGAAGAACACCCGUGGCGAAGGCGGCCCCCCUGGGCCGCGCCUGACGCUGACUGA